CUAUACCUACGGGAGGCAGCAGUGGGGAAUAUUGCACAAUGGGCGCAAGCCUGAUGCAGCGACGCCGCGUGCGGGAUGGAGGCCUUCGGGUUGUAAACCGCUUUUGUUCAAGGGCAAGGCACGGUCUUUGGCCGUGUUGAUUGGAUUGUUCGAAUAAGCACCGGCUAACUACGUGCCAGCAGCCGCGGUAAUACGUAGGGUGCAAGCGUUAUCCGGAUUUAUUGGGCGUAACGGGCUCGUAGUCGGUUCGUCGCGUCCGGUGGGAAAUUCCAUCGCUGAAC
rnacentral:rRNA from 1 species